AUAAUCUGAAAAUGUCUCUGAGGAGUACGGAUAGCAGUGCCGAUACCUCUGAAGUUGCCAAGGCAUAUGGUGGAGGGGGUUCCCCAAGUUCCAGCUCCUUUAUUAUUCGGAUGGAUGAAUAUAACCAGUGGCUUUCAGUGCAAUCAUCGAUACCAUGCUAAGGUACCAAUCAUGUUCUUCUUGUUUCUCUUUAAUUAACAAGGUCAUACUACCCCUCCUCUUACAGAGAGAGAAAAAAGACAAAAGGUAGGAAAAAGAAACAGAGGUAGCACAGGACUAUGGUGGGUACCUUGACAGUUACAAGAACGGACAAUCAGGAAGCAGAGAUAAAAUCGAAAGUAGAGAAGAAAUCAUCGAGCAUCAUAGAAUUCUCACGUAAUAUUUGAAGCGAAUGGUUACUGAAGUAAACAAAAUGCCGCAGAAAGGAUCGUCGUUUCGCAACCGUUGGCUAUAUGCUGGAAUGUAUUAAGAAGAAUGGUCGAACCACUUGACAAUGCUGAUUGCUACAAGAAAGGCCACAGGGACUAUAACUCAGGGAAGAUCAGAAUAUUAUAUUUUGAUUGCUUAUGCUUGUAUAAUUUUCUUGACAAUGUUUUCUUGAUAUUAGCAUUCACCAAGUACUGUACUGUAUUUGCUAUUCUUCUUCUGUACUCUUCUGGGAUGAAGAAUGAUCAAUCAAGUUUUCGUUAAUAUUAGUAAUUCAUUUUUUCUCAA